AUUGGGGAAGUUUAUAAAGAGUAGUUGCUUAAUCUGUCAGGCCUGAAAGGGAGCAGCAGGAGUAGCGGAGCUUUUGUAUAAACUUCCCCUUUUUU
rnacentral:SRP_RNA from 1 species